rnacentral:rRNA from 1 species
UACGGAGGGUGCGAGCGUUAUCCGGAAUCACUGGGUUUAAAGGGUGCGUAGGCGGUGGGACAAGUCUGUCGUGAAAUGCUCCGGCUCAACCGGUAGAACUGCGAUGGAUACUGUUUCACUUGAAUUGGGUUGAGGCAGGCGGAAUGUGACAUGUAGCGGUGAAAUGCAUAGAUAUGCCAUAGAACACCGAUUGCGAAGGCAGCUUGCCAAGCCUUGAUUGACGCUGAGGCACGAAAGCGUGGGGAGCAAACAGG